rnacentral:rRNA from 1 species
UACGUAGGGACCAAGCGUUGUUCGGAUUUACUGGGCGUAAAGGGCGCGUAGGCGGCAAUUCAAGUCAGCUGUGAAAUCUCCGGGCUUAACUCGGAACGGUCAGCUGAUACUGCUUUGCUAGAGUGCAGAAGGGGCAAUCGGAAUUCUUGGUGUAGCGGUGAAAUGCGUAGAUAUCAAGAGGAACACCUGCGGCGAAGGCGGGUUGCUGGGCCGACACUGACGCUGAUGCGCGAAAGCCAGGGGAGCGAACGGG